rnacentral:rRNA from 1 species
GAUGAACGCUGGCGGCGUGCCUAAUACAUGCAAGUCGAGCGAACAGAUAAGGAGCUUGCUCCUUUGACGUUAGCGGCGGACGGGUGAGUAACACGUGGGUAACCUACCUAUAAGACUGGUAUAACUCCGGGAAACCGGGGCUAAUGCCGGAUAACAUUUAGAACCGCAUGGUUCUAAAGUGAAAGAUGGUUUUGCUAUCACUUAUAGAUGGACCCGCGCCGUAUUAGCUAGUUGGUAGGGUAACGGCCUACCAAGGCAACGAUACGUAGACGACCUGAGAGGGUGAUCGGCCACACGGGAACUGGGACACGGUCCAGACUCCUACGAGAGGCAGCAGUAGGGAAUCUGACGCAGUGGGCGAAAGCCUGACGGAGCAACGGCGCGUGAGUGAUGAAGGUCUUCGGAGCGUAAUACUCUGUUAUUAGGGAAGAACAGAUGUGUAAGUAACUGUGCACGUCUUGACGGUACCUAAUCAGAAAGCCACGGCUAACUACGUG